rnacentral:lncRNA from 1 species
ACGAAGAUAACCUAGCCAGAAGGCAUAUUCUAUGAAUUAAUUUACUAGAUACAUCCGUGGUUCCUAAUCGCAAGGGUCGUUUAAAUCAGAAGAUGAGGAAUAGGUCAAAAAAGUUUUAGGUGGAAUCAAGUUUGGCGAAAUGAAACGUGGCUACUUGGUAGCUCACCUUUUCUACCAUAGGCGAUCUUAUUUAGAUAUACAUAUGUAAAAAAUGAAAAAACAAGGAAAAUUUGCCAGCAACUCAAUCAUUCUCUGCUUGCUCUUGAAUUGUAUGCACCAACAAUAGUCACAAAUGUUCAACUGCUGCAUGGUAGAAGAAAGAUUAGGUUAAUCCCAAAGUCGCAUUUAGUGAAAUAAUAUGCUAGCAUAAGAACGAAGAGGGAUUCAUCAAGAAAAAUAAUGGAAUCAAUAACAAUGUUUGUAAUAAUUUUGGAAAAAGAAAAGACCCCUCCAAGAAUC